rnacentral:rRNA from 1 species
UACGAAGGGUGCAAGCGUUACUCGGAAUUACUGGGCGUAAAGCGUGCGUAGGUGGUUCGUUAAGUCUGAUGUGAAAGCCCUGGGCUCAACCUGGGAAUGGCAUUGGAUACUGGCGACCUAGAGUGCGGUAGAGGGGUGUGGAAUUCCCGGUGUAGCAGUGAAAUGCGUAGAGAUCCGGAAGAACACCGGUGGCGAAGGCGGCCUGCUGGGCAGUAGCUGACGCUGAGGAGCGAAAGCCAGGGGAGCAAACGGG